rnacentral:misc_RNA from 1 species
GUGAAUCAUCGAAUUUUUGAACGCAUAUUGCACUCUCUGGGAUUCCUGAGAGUAUGCCUGUUUGAGGGUCAGUAAAAUAAAAAUCGUGGUUUUUUCCACCUUUGGUGGUGACGCUUCGGAAUUGGGUCGUCUUUACCUGUCUGUUAAGUGACUUAAAAUUUUUGAAUGAUAUCUGAACGUAUUUAAAGUUAUUUGGUACGUCUUUGUAAUAUCGAUUGUUUUUUAUGUGUGGUCAUCCUCAUAACGCACGGCUUUAAUUUUUCAUCUAAUUAUCUCAACUCAGA